CCUGCCACAGCCCAGAUAGGCCCAUUUAGCAAGCAGCGAGCCUUUAGUGCCCCAGCCAUGUACAGGGCCCACCUACUUCAAGGGGCCUGCUUUCUGGGCUUUCCUACCAGUCGCCCAGUCCCUAGCAUGGAACAAUUCAUCCUCUCGGACUACUCUGUAGCAUUGGACCCAACAGCUGUAUCACAGUGAGCCUAUGUCCUUGCUGCUAGACCUACUAGGAGCAGACUCAAUCUACCUCUGGCCACUGCCUUGCUGCCUUCCCAGACCUCUCCAGUGACAGCUGAUGAGAUGCAUUUCCCCCCUGGGGGACACUCUUAAAGACUUGGAGGUCUCGAAAAUCCAGCUGCCCCACCUCCUGCUGGCGGAUGGCCUCUUCUGUGUGCAGCCUGGUCUCCACCCGUCUCUUCAACAGCCCCCUCACGUCUUCUCCGUCUUCCUCCUCAGGCCAACCCUGCCCUCUUGCUGGCCAGCAGGGCCUCAGGGUCCCAUCACGGUCAGCAUCACCAUGAGCACCAACUCCUCCACCACAGAGGCCCUCACAGCUGGCAGGCUCCCGCCCCCUGCAAUAACCAGUGAAGGAAAAAGAGAAAGUAGCAGGGAGGAAAAGGGGCUGGACUUAACAGGAGGACACAAACAACCCCAGGCUUCAGGGCCAGACAGAGGAUGGCGGGUGAGUGUGGGAGACCUGGCUAGGCUUCUCCUGGGGGCACUCACCGUGGUGGUGGGACUCUGGAAGGACCUUUGUGCAGCAUCAGUGACACUUGGCAACUGCACUCGCCAACCCGGUUCCUGAUGAAGUCAAGGACAAGACAAUAAGGACUACGAGGUCCCCUGGUCAAAGGACCUAUUCAGCUCAGGGUGGGGAGGGGUACAAGGCAAGUGUGAACUUGGUCAUGGGCUCCGCAGAGGAAGGAGGCCUAGGGCUUGGCUGUGGCUUCUACCCCAGACUUAGAUUUAGGGGUAGGGCUCUCACCCUGUGGUCAACUGUGAUUUUUACAGUUCCAGACUGAAAAGAAGGGGGUGGGGGAUGGCAGCAAGAUCAGCAUCUACAAAUGGGAAUCCUCUUCAACACUAUGUGUCGAUCGCUCAAUCUGAGACUAAAGGCUGCUGCGGGGUUGUGAUGAAGCCUCUGGUCUAUGCAGACAGGCCCUGCUCAGAUGGCUGACCUGAUUCUACACUCCCUCAAAGUAAUGACAGCCACUUCCCCGACGGCUGGAUUCUCCUUGAAAACAGCCACAGCUUCCCUUCAUUAAUCAGAACAUUCUGUGUUGAGAACCUAACAAGUGUGUCUCCCAACCUGGGUGGCCCCCUUCUUUUCCUCCUUCAGGUGGGGGGGGCUUUGGAUUCUUUACAAUCACAGAGCUGUUCAGCCUCCAAGGGUGCAUGGCCAGGCUGAGGCCCCUCUUCUCAGGCAGGGGGCUGAAUGGCUAGCCCGGGUGGAUUCAAAGCAGUUGAGCCCCUCUGGCCUGUGAGGCUGCCCUCUGCUGGUGUUUCAAAGCCAUGGCUCGUAAAAGGGCAAGUCUGGGAAUUAAAUGGGUAAGUUCUACCACACCAAGGACUGUUUAUCCAGGACCCUCAGGCCUCCUGACUGCCAUAGGCUUUGUCUCAUUCUCUACUUUGUCACUGUUCUCUUGGUCUGGAAAGUGUCAGGAAGGAGGCCAUGGGGAUUAUGCAAGACAGUGCUGGAAUUCUCAGGUUCCGCAAUUCCCUAGAUUGCCUUAGCAGUGCUGCUGGGUCUGACUGACCCUUCCAGACACCAUGAUAGAUGUGCCAGCUGCCAGCGCUGGACCUCCUCCUUACAAAGCCCACUUCAUUUCGUUUAUGGUUCUAACUGCUUAGAGGCACCACCGCUUACAUAAGGCAAACAGAGUUCAUGAAGGUUAAAUGAUGUGCCUAAACUCAGAGGUAACUAGCAGGGACAGGGGCUGGGACCUAAAUCUACUUACAUAUAAGAUUGUGGCCUGUGUACAGGUCCUAUAUCAUUUAUAUCAGAACCAGUUUGCUCUGGAAUUUUUGUGUAUUUCUUUGUGUCUGUAUGCAUGUGCGCCUUAACCACGAGAGUGGACACCCUCACGUACAUGAGUGUAUGGGAUCGUCUGGUAGGCACCUACAUCUUGAAUCUGGGGAUAGGUGCUUAUGUCUCCUGCUGCCACAGGGGUACAUCCACUCACUUUGUCUGGGACUUCCUCAGACACCAGCAGCCUACAGAGUGGUUCUGCUUCUCAGGGUCUGUGGAUUUGCUCCUUACCCUUGGGCAGGGACCAUGUGAACAAGGAUAGGUCGGUUUGCUUCCUUCCAGCCCCCUCUCCUCCUCCGCUCCACCUUUGUGCUAUACCAGGCUGUGACCAUGUAGAUCCCUCCCUGUGACCUCAUUCCUCUCUCCUCCCUGUCAGCUCCUCUAGUUUGUCCCUUCAUCCAGGCCCGGGUUUUUUUUUUUUUUUUUGACGCUACCAAUUCAAGGCACCUGAAGAGUGCAGGCUACACCUCUGUUUAUAUUUGUGCCAGGUUGUGAGCAUGCUACCCGGGUUCCUGAUUCUGUCAGCCUACAAGGCAUGUUGAGUUAUUAUUUCUCUACUUCACAGUGAUGUUGGCCUGGAACAGAGCAAGAUGCCCAAUGGGUGUUGCUUUGGUAGCUCUUCCCCCCCCCCCCCACCAUCUUCGAGUUUCCUCUUGUCAUAAGGAGGACAAAACACAGGCAUAGAAAUCAGGAGUAGAUACUGACCAGAUGGCCCCACUUUACUAUAGCCACACUCCAGGAGGCUGUGCAUCAGAGAUGGAUAUCCCCAUGGAUCUUGCCAUCGCCUUGAUCUGUCCCCAUGGUGGGGAGCAUGGACAGAGAUAAGCCCCGCCCAAUAUCUCUAGCUCCACCCACCCUGAGGUCUCCAGAUAAGGGGGAAGAACAGAGACACCAUGGCUGGGCCUGGGGGAACAAUACUGAAAGCCUAAGAUGAAAACCUCUACUGGGCCUUUAAGUCAAGUUCAUGUGGAGCCUAUAAAGUUCAGACAGACUCUUGCCUGGGCCCAUUUACCAGUGACCUAACCAGCAGGAAUAGUGUCUUAGAGAUGUCUUUAAUAUUACCCACGCUCCAUCACAAACGGGCUGAGACUGAGGCCCCGCCCUGAUAUGGCCACACAGGACACAGCAGUCACUCUGUAUGCUGCAAACCUGACAAAAAGAUGCUCUCCUUUCUGGAGCCCCGCAUUACAGGGUCAUAUUCUGGUUAGAAGCCUAGCAAUGUGUCCCUCCUCAAAUCACCAUCACACAGGACAAUUUUAUACACAAAAGUAAAGAACUAAUUUUCUGAAAAAAAGUAUCUGUGCUUUCUAACAUCUCAGCUGGAACUUGGCGGUGAAGUGUUGCUAGCUCUCCUCUUGGUCAGAGCUGGCGAAGGGAACGAGAGGUCAAAACUCCCCCAUGCCCACCACUCCAUGGUGGAAGGAACAGAUUGGACCCCUGGGCUGUCUCCCAGCCCCACUCCCCCAGCUUUUCUUCUUGAAAGACCCUCUUCCAUGGGCUAGGUCCGACUUCUGUCAGGACAAAGCAAGUGAGAUGGAACAAGGUCCCUGGCAGGCCUGGCAUGCACUCCUCAGGAGAACUUUCCACUGACUUGCUCCAUUUUUGGCUGGGGACAGAGCCAAGGCCAAGGCAAUGGCCUCCCGGAGGAAUGAGGAAUCUAGGCUUUGGGAGGAAAGGGGGAUGCACGAAGAGGCCAGCAUGGAUUCCUCCCCUAAUUCCCAGUGCAUGGAAAGACACUCCUAAUGACAGGUUGUAAGAAUGGAAGAAAAUCUGAUUGAAGUCAAGAGACAAGGGCUCGAACUUAGGCUCAGCUCGUGGCCAUGAGCAACUCGGUGACCUGAGACCUUGGUGUCCCUCAUUAUUAGAUGGGAAGGCUAGAUAACUCCUGCAUUCCCUGUCAGCUGGGAAUCGUCUACAUUUUAUGACUGUCCCCAGCUGGUCCCAGACAGCCUGCCGCUUGCCCUUCCAGUGUAACCCCCUCUAUGGCCUGGCAAACUUCCUAUAGAUCUUUGCUUUGUGCUCCCUACUCCCUUUCUUUCUUGGCUCAUUUAACAGCCAAGUCCUCCUUCACUGGCCAACCCCCAGCCUUUCUUUUUGCUUCAAAAUCUCACAAAAAGUCGGGAGAUGGAGACAAGAGAAGCCAGAGUCCAAGGUUAUAUAGACUGAGUUUGAGGCCCCCUGUGCAACAGGAGACUAUCUCAAAACCAAACCAGACAAACAAAAUCGCAAAAAAAAAAAAUACCUAUCUCUUAUAGGCUAUCUAGUUGAUUAAUACAAGUCUCAAAGUAUCAUUCCUUCAUUAGGAAGUAUUGUCACAUUAAGUCACUCUCUGCCCUGGUACUGGCCUAGUGAGCAAGGGUGUAGGUUCCUCUUCAUGGAGGCAGAUCUGUCUUUCCUGAUAACGACUUCAAGCUGAAGGCAAAGUCAGUGGACAUCGUGUAGACACAGGGCUGAUGGGACCAGCACGACACGUAUUUGUAAGAGGGUCCUCUGUAACUCAUAUCAGCAGAACUUUGCCUGUAGAGGCAUAACUUCUAAACAGACUCAAAGAUCUCUAAGAGGUAAUAGCUUUCUUUCUUUUCUUUCUUUCUUCUUUUCUUUUGAUUUUAUUUGUUUUAUGUACGUGAGCACACUGUCACUGUCUUCAGACACACCAGAAGAGGACAUCGGAUCCCAUUACAGAAGGUUGUGAGCCACCAUGUGGUUGCUGGGAAUUGAACCCAGGACCUUUGGAAGAGCAGUCAGUGCUCUUAACCGCUGAGCCAUCUCUCCAGUCCUGCUUUAUUAUUUUUUAAGGGUAUUUUUAAAAGUUCACUUAAGCAUUUGGGGGUGGUUUGUUAAGCAGCAGCAGAUAGAUGAUGUGAGUAAAAAGCACACGCUCAGAACUCUGCACGUGCAGUAUUCCAUCACAGCAAAAGCCAUAGCAUGGAGCUUACAGAGCUGACCCUGAGUGAUAGGCUCAGUGUGGGGAAUUGAUAAAGUUCAGAAGGAAGUGACCGGGUCCUCAGGCACCCAUUAAGGCCAUGUCUAACCAUCCUCAGGAGGUGCCACAACCUUACAUUCACAGGUCAGGUCUUAGGCCUCAGAGAAGGCAUUCUGCCCAUCAACUAGGCCUCACUUAGGAUAUUAGGAGAUGGAGUAUUUCAAUAGGGAAAAUUAAUCUCCCUGUGGUUGCUUUAUUUUCACUUUUUACUACUUGUGAUGGCUAAUAUUAUCAAUUUGACAAUUUCUAGACUCACGUAAGAGACUCUUGUCCUACUGUAAGGGAUUGUCUGUAUAAGGUUAAUUGAUUGGGAUGACCUGGGCAGCUCUGCUCCAUGGGCUGGGGGCCUUGGCAGCUCUGUCCCAUGGCUGGGGGCCUAGGCUCAAUACGAAGAAGAGAGAUAGCUGAGCACUGCUGCUCUCCCUCUGCUGCUCUCCCUCUGCUGCUCUCCCUCUGCUGUUCUCCUUCUGAUGCUCUCCUUCUGAUGCUCUCCCUCUGAUGCUCUCCCUCUGAUGCUCUCCCUCUGAUGCUCACCCUCUGCUUCCUGACUGCAGAAGCCUAGAGCUCCUGCUGUCGUGACCUCCCCUCUGUUAUGAACUGUACCCUGAACCGAGACAAAAUGACUCCCGACUCUGAUUUUCAGAGUCUUUUAUCCUGCUCGAACCCAUAGAAGUCCACCCGCCAAGUGCUAGGAUUAAAAGUGUGCACCACGGUCUGCCCUGUAGCAAUUAAAGAAUAUUUUAAGGGGUUGGGGGUUUAGCUCAGUGGUAGAGCAUUUGCCUAGCAAGCGCAAGGCCCUGGGUUCGGUCCCCAGCUCCAAAAAAAAAAAAAAAAAAAAAAGAAAGAAAAGAAAAGAAA